AAUGGUUGAAAUAAUGUGUUUUCUUUUCUUCAGUCUUCAUGUCUCCUUGUUGGCCAUCAGGAAAUCAGGAACUUGAGAUGAUCACCCAAGUAGCUGAGGCCCAGGGUUGCUGCCAGUCCUUAUCUUCUGCUGAGACAUCUGUCUUCAUUACCUCUUCGUCUAGGUACUCUGACCUCAAGGAUCCAGUUGGAGUAGAUUGCUGUUUAAGGUUUUCAGAGCUCCAAGUUGAAAGAAAAAGGAAACAGAAGAGUUAUAAAGGUACUCAGCCUGAAAAUUACAAAUGGAAAAGCACCGCAAAUCAGCCAUGGCCUGAAGGAAAUCAAAUGUUGUUGAGAUUCUGUGAGUCUGGAGGUACCGUCUGGGAGUAGAGCUUGUGAAGAAACAAAUCAAAUCAGUGUUUUCUUCAUUCAGAAGAUACUUUUGCCUUGGGGAUCAUAGCAGAUUUAAGCAGCUUUGAGGGGUGGGCCCUGAAGCAGUGUCUAUUGGACAGGAGAAGGAACAAAACCCCCUGCGAUGGAGCCCCUAAUUAGACGUGUGAAUUUGUCUUCCUGAGACUUUGUUGCUUUGGCCAACCAUCAAGCUCAUGCAGGACCCCUAUGAAGGUACAUAGCUAAUUUCACAGCACUGCUCUCCUGAGUCUUAUCACCAUGAAUAUUCUGCAGGAAGGCCUCCUGAGAAUAUACGCUAUCAGAAAACUACCUUUAUACUUUUGCUGCACUCUAGUCACAGGGAAAAGAAUUACAGGAAGACAAGAUGUUAGGCAAGCAAGCUAAUAGAAGGUGUCUUUCAGGUUGAGGCCUGAAUUCAGGAACUACUCAGUUCAGUUUCCUAAAACAUCUCUGCUCGCAGUAUGAGGAAUAAGAUAUGCACAAAUAACAUGCAUAGUAGAUAAAGACUUACGCUCAAAGAAGGAUAGAUAGCAAGGGAAGUUCCUAAGAAGAACAGCUCAGUCACUUCUGGGAGAGAAGGACCAGCAGGGAAAGCUUUAUGAAGAAGGUAGUGUUUGAGUUAGAGCUUAAAGCAUGACCAGGAUUUGUCAGGUGAAUAUGGGAGGUAGAGCAAUCCAGUUGUGUGUACCACAGAAGCCAAGCAUGGAUGGAAAGGCAUAGGAUAUAUUUUUAAAAGAGUGAAGAAGGCCGGGCGCGGUGGCUCACGCCUAUAAUCCCAGCACUUUGGGAGGCCGAGGCAGGUGGAUCAUGAGGUAAAGAGAUCGAGACCAUCCCGGUCAACAAGGUGAAACUCUGUCUCUACUAAAAAUACAAAAAUUAGCUGGGCACAGUGGUGCGCGCCUGUAGUCCCAGCUGCUCGGGAGGUUGAGGCAGGAGAAUUGCCUGAACCCAGGAGGUGGAGGUUGCGGUGAGCCGAGAUCGCGCCAUUGCACUCCAGCCUGGGUAACAAGAGCAAAACUCUGUCUCAAAAAAAAAAAAAAAAAAGAAAAAAUGAGUGAAGAAUUCAGCUGGGAAUGAGAUUGAGAGUACAUAAGAAAAUGAUGAAUGGGGGAAUGGAAAAGGCCAGAGGAGAUGGGCAGAGAGGAUGUUGCAUUUUAGGUUAAGAAAUUUCAACAAUGUAAAGCCAUAGAGCUGCUGAUGUGCAGAAGACAACCUAGUGUUUGCCUUCACAUGAGAACUGAUCUUCAGAGGUCAUAUUUCCUCCCCCAUAUCCUUACACAGAUAUUAUGCAUUUCAGGCUUUCCACUAAGAUCCCACAUUUAUCCUUCCC
rnacentral:lncRNA from 1 species